GCACAGAGGAGCUUGCUCCUUGGGUGACGAGUGGCGGACGGGUGAGUAAUGUCUGGGAAACUGCCCGAUGGAGGGGGAUAACUACUGGAAACGGUAGCUAAUACCGCAUAACGUCGCAAGACCAAAGAGGGGGACCUUCGGGCCUCUUGCCAUCGGAUGUGCCCAGAUGGGAUUAGCUAGUAGGUGGGGUAACGGCUCACCUAGGCGACGAUCCCUAGCUGGUCUGAGAGGAUGACCAGCCACACUGGAACUGAGACACGGUCCAGACUCCUACGGGAGGCAGCAGUGGGGAAUAUUGCACAAUGGGCGCAAGCCUGAUGCAGCCAUGCCGCGUGUAUGAAGAAGGCCUUCGGGUUGUAAAGUACUUUCAGCGAGGAGGAAGGCAUUAAGGUUAAUAACCUUAGUGAUUGACGUUACUCGCAGAAGAAGCACCGGCUAACUCCGUGCCAGCCGCCGCGGUAAAAGGG
rnacentral:rRNA from 1 species